UGUGCUAUACACCAUUGUGUCACACAACAAUAAUAAACUAACAAACGUUAUAUCAGUCACCAAACAUUAAUAUUCAAAACUUUCAACAACGGAUCUCUUGGUUCUCGCAACGAUGAAGAACGCAGCGAAUUGCGAUACGUAUUGUGAAUUGCAGACUUCGUGAGACAUCUAAUCUUUGAACGCACAUUGCGCCCCGUGGCAGUCCGCGGGGCAUGUCUGUGUGAGCGUUGUUUCCCUCUUAAACUUUGGUUUAGUGUUGUGGAUGGCUUCAGGCCGCCACGAAAUAGCAGAAAGCAAAAACAUGUCUAGCGAUAUUCAUGAGCAGGCUUCAACACCAACAUCAACCUCACAUCAGAUAGGACUACCCGC
rnacentral:rRNA from 1 species